UUUUUUUUAGCUUCAAUUAAAUUAGCUUUUGGAAGUUGUAAGAACUCAUUAAUAAAUUUUUAAAUUAAUAUUAAUAUGUCUAAUCGAUAAGUCAAGUUUAUCUCUUUACAUCACUCAAUUGAUUUAUUGACCCUAAAUCACCCCUGUGAUAAAAAUAGGGUCUUAAAAAUAGGAGGAUUAAAAUUUCAAUUAAGUUAAAAUAAGGGGAUCAAAAGUGCAUUUAAACCAAAAUAUUAACAAUUAGAAAGCAACAAGAGUUGAAUUUUAGUAGAAUAUGGCAGCAAAGAAAAAGCUUAUGGAAUUGAAAUAGAGGCCUUUUAGUUCAAUAUAAGACAACAUUGACAACAACAACAACAAUAAUAAUAAUAAUAAUAAUAAUAAAGAUUCCGUGUUUUGUUCUUAAGCGCAUACAGAAUAGUGAGUUUGUCCGCUAAUUUGAUGGGUUUAAUGAGAGAGUUAAAGAUUUUUGGGUAAUUAUUUUAUCAAAUAAUUAGAUUUAAUUAAAAAUAUACCACAUAAUUUUAAGGCUUAAUUGGUCCAUUAGUCCCCUAAUUAAUUUUCAGUUUUUAUUUUGGUCAUAUGUCUCGUAAAGUCAACGUUUUGGUCCCUUAUGUUUGUUUCCGUUAUUCAAAUAAAUCAAUGGUUGUUAACUUUAACUUCAAAUGUCUAUGGUGGACGAACCUUAAAAGUGGUUCACCAUAGACUCUAUUAAUAUUUUUAAUUUAUACCGCCCGAUCUAAUUUUAAAAAAGAGGAUUGUUAGAUCAUGAAGAUCCACUUUAUCUUAUGGUGAACAAAAAACAUCUAAUUAAUUUUCCCUUUAUUCAUAUUCCUUCUUCUUCUUCAUAAUCCUCGUACAACUUCAUCAAUUAUACCCAGAAAAAAAACCCAGAUAAUCCAACACUUCUUCUUCGCUUCUCUCCAACCCCCACAUCAUUUGACCCUUUCUUUCAAGAAUAAUCAUACAUCAAUUAUACAAACUUGAACAACAACAACAUACUUGUUUAUUUUUUUCACCCAUUAUCAUUUGUAACCAACAUGUUACUCUCAGAAACCUUUCUCACACAUUGCUUUGAACGAAUCUCAGAAAUGAUGAAGUGUGUUAUAUACCUUUGGAUCUGAAAAUCGGUUCCUUUGAUUUCAUUGCGUUUGCCUUAGAAGCAAUUUUUCUCUUCCAAACUUUCGAUUUCACCUUCAAUUACUCUCCUUCUUCUACUUCUGAUCUCUCUCAACUUUUUCUCCCAAUUUCUAUUACCAUGAAGAAGAAGCUCGAUCCAUGUUUCCCUGCUGUGUGUUUUUUCUAUUUUUCUUUUUAAAGUUUUGAUCUUUUUGUUAUUUUAUGUUGUUCUAGAAUUAAAUUGAGCAAUUUGGUGAUUUUUGUUAUGUGGAUUUUCUUCUAAAAUUUUGUUGAUUUUGGUUUGAAAUGGGUUGAGUUUGGAUCUGAUAUUGAAGAUAUUAAAGAUUGGUUGUGGUGGAUUUGGAAGGAAUGAGUUCAUAGUUAUUUGUAGAGGUAGGGUGGACAAUGAUUAACAAUAUAUGGCAAAAUUUGAUUAAGGAGGACGGUGGUAAUACGAUGAAGAUGAAAGUGUUAUGGGUUUUCCUUUCUACGUUUUUCUCUUUGGUUAUAUAGAAGAAUGAGGGGAAAAAGAGGGGAAAAUGAAGUUGUUGGUGGUGGUUGAUGUUUCUGGGUAUGUUAAUGAAGAUGAUGGUGAUGGUGUUUAUGAAUGUGAUGAUGAAGAUGACGAAGAAGUUGAGGGAAUAAGAUGAAGAAAGAAAAAGUUAAUUAUAUGUUGUUCAUUUACCGGAAGAUAAAAUGGACAUUCAUGAUCCAACGAUCCUUUUUUUUAAAAAUAGAUCAAACGGUAUAAUUUAAAAAAAUUAAUAGAGUCUAUGCUGGACCACUAUUUAAAUGAAAACUGAAAAUUAAUUAGGGAAUCAAAAGACCAAUUAAGCUUAAUUUUAAAUUUCUAAUACGCAUGUAUCUUGUUAAUUCAACAUAAUAUAUAUGCAAUUUUUCAUUGUUACUUACCACAAAAUAUCAAAAUUGAUUGAAUUUGAAAUAAUAGAGGUUGAAUUAAAAUAUUCACAUGGAGAAUGACAUCAAAAACUAAAAAAAAACUUGUUAUCACAAUGUUGUGACUUUUGCAUGAUCCUACAUUGUACUUGUUCAUCACUAUAAGAGAACUCAUACAGCUGAGUUUGACAUCAUAUUUUUGCCCUAAAUAUUAAGAUAUUAGGUAUAUAAGUCAAAUUACUAUGUUGUUCAACAUUUCUCUUCCAUUCAAUUUAACCUCAGCAAACAUGCAUCUCAAAUAAAAAUCUUUGACAAUCUUCUAAAAAAAAACUUUUGAUAAUCAUGAAAGUUUAUUAUAGGUUUUUAUUUAUCUUUUAACCUUUUCU
rnacentral:lncRNA from 1 species